UAGUUUCAAGCUAUCGACGUGAAGGCAUUGAAGGCAGAGCCGGGACGAGGUGUGCACGGCCGGGCCCUGCAAGGUGGAAGGAGAACGAGUUUCCAAAGCCAGAGGCUCCCGGCUCCAGGUGAUCCCCAGCAGUGGGAACGCAGGUGGACUUGCCCAGAGUGCAAAAUACGGACCUGUGGCUGCAGGCGCCACAAUGGCCAGAAAGAACCAGUUCUGCCUAUGGUGCGUGCAUGCUUAAGG